AGAACGAACGCUGGCGGCAUGCCUAAUACAUGCAAGUCGAACGAACACUUCGGUGUUAGUGGCGCACGGGUGCGUAACGCGUGGGAAUCUGCCCUUGGGUUCGGAAUAACAGUUGGAAACGACUGCUAAUACCGGAUGAUGACGAAAGUCCAAAGAUUUAUCGCCCAGGGAUGAGCCCGCGUAGGAUUAGCUAGUUGGUGAGGUAAAGGCUCACCAAGGCGACGAUCCUUAGCUGGUCUGAGAGGAUGAUCAGCCACACUGGGACUGAGACACGGCCCAGACUCCUACGGGAGGCAGCAGUAGGGAAUAUUGGACAAUGGGCGACAAGCUGAU
rnacentral:rRNA from 1 species